rnacentral:rRNA from 1 species
CCCAGUACUGCAAAGCUUCGGCAGCGCAGAUAGUGGUCCUAAUCAUACCUCCGAGAAAAACCUCUAAGGCUAGGCUAAAGCGGCCCGUACCGCAAACCGACACAGGUAGUCGAGGAGAAUAUCCUAAGGUGCUCGGGUGAGCCGCGGAGAAGGAACUAGGCAAAUUGUGGCUGUAACUUCGGGAUAAAGCCAACUACUCUCUGAGUAGUCUCAGUAAAAUGAUUCAACCAACUGUUUAACAAAAACACAGGGCCCUGCAAAAUCGAAAGAUGACGUAUAGAGCCUGAUACCUGCCCGGUGCUGGAAGGUUAAGGAAGGAUGUUCGGCGCAAGCCAAAGCUUCUGACUGAAGCCCCAGUAAACGGCGGCCGUAACAAUAACGGUCCUAAGGUAGCGAAAUUCCUUGUCGGGUAAGUUCCGACCUGCACGAAUGGUCUAAUGAGUUGAAUACUGUCUCCUCCGCGAGCCCGGCGAAAUUGUAGUAUCGGUGAAGAUGCCGGUUACCCGUCACGGGACGGAAAGACCCCGUGAACCUUCACUACAACUUUGCAUUGAUUUUGAGCAAACGAUGUGUAGAAUAGUUGGGACGCUACGAAGCGGUGCCGCCAGGUGCCGUGGAGCGGUCGUUGAAAUACCAACCUUCGUUUGCUUAGAGUCUAAUCCCUUGCGGGAAACAGUGCAUGGUGGGUAGUUUGACUGGGGUGGUCGCCUCCUAAAAAGUAACGGAGGCUUGCAAAGGUUCCCUCAGUACGGUUGGUAAUCGUACGAAGAGCGCAUUAGUAUAAGGGAGCUUGACUGUGAGACAGACAAGUCGAGCAGGGUCGAAAGACGGCUAAAGUGAUCCGGUGGUUCUGCAUGGAAGGGCCAUCGCUCAAAGGAUAAAAGGUACUCCGGGAUAACAGGCUGAUCUCCCCCAAGAGCUCAUAUCGACGGGGAGGUUUGGCACCUCGAUGUCGGUUCGUCACAUCCUGGGGCUGGAGAAGGUCCCAAGGGUUCGGCUGUUCGCCGAUUAAAGUGGCACGUGAACUGGGUUCAGAACGUCGCAAGACAGUUCGGUCCCUAUCUGUGAUGGGCGUUAGAAAAUUGAGUGGACAUGACCUUAGUACGAGAGGACCGGGUCGUACGUACCGCUGGUGUAUCUGUUGUGCCGCCAGGUGCAAUGCAGAGUAGCUAUGUACGGACAGGAUAAACGCUGAAAGCAUCUAAGCGUGAAACCUACCACAAGAUGAGUUUUCUUUUAAGGGUCGUAGCAGACUACUACGUUGAUAGGCUACAGAUGUAAAGGUGGUAACAUCAAAGUCGAGUAGUACUAAUUGCCCGUACGCUUUAAUUA